UAAAUAUAUUAUUAAUAUUUUUCUUGGUUAAAAGUGAGUUUUUAGCCUAAGAAAACCCUCUUCAUGAAAAAAAGAGACCUUGGAAACCCUAGAGACACCGAUUAGCCGAAGAAGGUGAGGUUCCAUCUUCCCAAAGCUAUGGCUUCUACUCUCAUCAGGCAGAUUCUCAGAAAGCAAUCUUCCACAACCAUCAUCUCUUUGUUCAAUAAACCCUACUAUUCUAAUCCCAAUCUUGCUCUACCACUGUCCAAUUACCUUUCAAACGACCCAUGUUUCCUGGACAACAAAUCUUACCUCCCGCAGAACACCAUUCUUUCUCUAGCAUCAUUAGAUCCCUCUAACGCAAAUGAUCAUCGACCUUCUCCUCCUACAAUCCCAAUAUUCCCAAUGCUUCCUUUCGCCUUCUGUCUACACUCAAUUCCUCCAUCCGUGUCUGGAGUCGUGCUUUCGGAAUCCGAAGGUGUUUCUGGGGACGAGACGAAGAUAUGGGCUGAUAGCGUCAAAAAGAAGAGGAAGAGAAAGAUGAACAAGCACAAAUACAGAAAGCUGAGAAAACGUCUCAGCAGACAGACCUAAUGCCAUCAAUAUUUGCAACAGGACAGGAGGAAAGGGUGGUGGUGGUUAGCUGAAGUUAUGAUCAGUCACAGGUGGAAACUAUCCUUUUUUGGGCUAUCUUUACCUUCCAUGUUUUUUCUUCAGUACAUUUGCAGUUCUUGAAUAGUUUAAAUAAGCAAAGCAUGGAUACACUGCAUUGGGGCUUACUUUUUAGAAACUACAAUAUUGGAGUCUUUUGGUAAGGAUUUUUUUUUGUUUCUUUUAAAGAUUUUGUGAUUAGUGGAUGACAACACUCUUUUAUAUUAACGGCUCGAUUAAGGAAUGAUUAUUGUU